rnacentral:lncRNA from 1 species
CAUAUACAGAUUUGAAUCAUUGAUGGACAAUAUUAAGUUAUCAACAAACUUCUUUGCAGUUCUCUUUGAGGUUGAUAUUUAGCAUAAACUAAAACCACCAGCUACCAUAAGUUCAUCAUCGUCCUACCCGGAUCUACCAUUAUGAAGUGAUCACUCCAUAUCUUCCGUCCUGCUGGCAUGCCCUAAGUGGGUUGCUGCACCAUUGUGGAAAGCAAUAAUGAGCGUGUCAUACAUCCCACACUCUACUCAGAAUAUAAAACGUGUUUUCUUCCCAUUGCGAGAGCACAAUAUACCGAUGAUGAGUGCUAGCUAGCUCGGGUUGUUGACAUAGUGUUGCAGUUUCACAUGGGCAUUAAAUUACACACGACAUGGAUCAUAAAAUUGUGUAAGCGUAGGCUUGGGAGGCAUCAGGAAUUUCAUGACGCACACUAAUGCCUACGAUUGAGCAAUGGCCUACUUAGUAUAUGGUGCAUGAGCACCACCAGGAUUAUCUAGGACUCUAGGGUGCUGAUGAACUGCCACUUCUUCGCAUGGAUUGAGCAUGAAAAGGGGCGUUGUACAUAGGACUCUCUAAAAAUCACAAGGCAAAUGCACCAACAUUUUGAAAACCUGUGCAACCGGCAUGGCGAGACCAUUGAACAUCUCCAACUAUCCUGCUUCUGCUAUCCUGUGUCUAUGUUCGUGCUGUUUGGGCCAAUGUAAUGACAACAUGGGUUAUACAGCAUAUUGGCACCUACCAGAGACGAAGGAUUGAUUCUCUCUGGUGCACCUGGCACGCUGUUCGACACAACCUCCUGGUGCAUGCGAGCGGAUCCAGGUAGGGCUACAAUUAGAAACCGAGCAGUAUAACUCUAGUAGCUAUCAUGUACUAUUUAAAUUUGAUUUCUACAAAGGAAAUAUAUUCAUAUGGCGAAGAUAUAAAUUACACCCAGCCUCAGUACCAACAAGAUGUCUCAAAGGCGGCAUCGAGAAUACACACAUCCCAAAAAGAAAAGAAAAAAGUAAUAAAUUAAAAAAACAAGGGCCUCGCCAUAGUGAUCAACUCCUCUCAGUUGCAACAUACCAACCACCAUAAAAGACAACACCCG